rnacentral:rRNA from 1 species
AGCGAACGCUGGCGGCAGGCCUAAUACAUGCAAGUCGAACGGCUCUUCGGAGCAGUGGCGGACGGGUGAGUAACGCGUGGGAAUGUGCCCUUUGGUACGGAACAACACAGGGAAACUUGUGCUAAUACCGUAUGUGCCCUUCGGGGGAAAGAUUUAUCGCCAUUGGAGCAGCCCGCGUUGGAUUAGCUAGUUGGUAGGGUAAAAGCCUACCAAGGCGACGAUCCAUAGCUGGUCUGAGAGGAUGAUCAGCCACACUGGGACUGAGACACGGCCCAGACUCCGACGGGAGGCAGCAGUAGGGAAUCUUGCGCAAUGGGCGAAAGCCUGACGCAGCCAUGCCGCGUGAAUGAUGAAGGUCUUAGGAUUGUAAAAUUCUUUCACCGGGGAAGAUAAUGACGGUACCCGGAGAAGAAGCCCCGGCUAACUUCGUGCCAGCAGCCGCAGUAAUAC